rnacentral:rRNA from 1 species
GGAUAACUACGGAAAAGCUGUAGCUAAUACUUGCUUUAGCACUCUUGAUUAAGUUCUUGAGUGUGUACUUGUUAAGCCUUUUAAGAAAAAAGUUAUUAACUUAAGGAAUUAUAACAAAGAAGCAACACGUAAAUGGAUUUUCCAUUUUUUAGUGUGUAUCAAUCGAGUUUCUGACCUAUCAGCUUUUGAUGUUAGGGUAUUGGCCUAACAUGGCUAUGACGGGUAACGGGGAAUUAGAGUUCGAUUCCGGAGAGGGAGCCUGAGAAAUAGCUACCACAUCUAAGGAAGGCAGCAGGCGCGUAAAUUACCCAAUUCUAAAGAAGAGAGGUAGUGACAAGAAAUAACAAUACAAGGCCAAUCUGGCUUUGUAAUUGGAAUGAUGGGAAUUUAAAACCUUCCCAAAACUCAAUUGGAGGGCAAGUCUGGUGCCAGCAGCCGCGGUAAUUCCAGCUCCAAUAGCGUACAUUAAAAUUGUUGCAGUUAAAACGCUCGUAGUUGAAUUUCAAAGAAUCGAUAUUUUAAGUAGCACUUUGUAGAUUAAUCCACAUAACUGAUACUACGUAUCGACUUUGUGCGCAUUUUUCUACUUAUGUGUUCUUUUAAUUAAAAUGAUUCUUUUUAAGAUCUUUCUUUUUUGCUUCGGCAUUUUAGGAGAUCUUGUUACUUUGAGUAAAUUAGAGUGUUCAAAGCAAACAGAUUAUAGCAUCUUUAUGCGUUUGAAUACUACAGCAUGGAAUAACAAAAUUGAACAAGUCAGAAUUUUGUUCUUUUUUCUUAUUUUGGCUUAGUUACGAUUAAUAGGAGUAGCUUGGGGGCAUCUGUAUUCAGAUGUCAGAGGUGAAAUUCUUAGAUUUUCUGGAGACAAACAACUGCGAAAGCAUUUGCCUAAAAUACUUCCAUUAAUCAAGAACGAAAGUUAAGGGAGUGAAGACGAUCAGAUACCGUCGUAAUCUUAACCAUAAACUAUGCCGACUAGGCUUUGGAUGAAAGAUUUUAAAAUAAGAGUUUUUUCUCUGAGGAGUUAAAACUCUUAGAUUGC